UACGUAGGGAGCAAGCGUUGUUCGGAUUUACUGGGCGUAAAGGGCGCGUAGGCGGCAACUUAAGUCAGCUGUGAAAUCUCCGAGCUUAACUCGGAACGGUCAGCUGAUACUGAUCUGCUAGAGUGCGGAAGGGGCAAUCGGAAUUCUUGGUGUAGCGGUGAAAUGCGUAGAUAUCAAGAGGAACACCUGAGGUGAAGACGGGUUGCUGGGCCGACACUGACGCUGAGUGCGCGAAAGCCAGGGGAGCAAACGGG
rnacentral:rRNA from 1 species